UACGGAGGGUGCAAGCGUUGCUCAGAAUUAUUGGGCGUAAAGGGUAGGUAGGUGGUCUUAUUUGUCUGGGGUGAAAGCCUUGAGCUUAACUCAAGAAGUGCCCCAGAAACGGUAAGACUAGAGUCCUGGAGAGGGUCGUGGAAUUCCCGGUGUAGCGGUGAAAUGCGUAGAGAUCGGGAGGAACACCAGAGGCGAAGGCGGCGACCUGGACAGGCACUGACACUCAACUACGAAAGCGUGGGGAGCAAACAGG
rnacentral:rRNA from 1 species